GUUUGGUGACAGGAGGGGACCAGGACGUGCUGAGCUACACCUGGUACCGCAACCGGGUGUGGCUGGGCACCGGCUCUUCCCAAAAUCUCACCUUGCCUGGGGUCACCGCCUCCGAUGCCGGCUCCUACCAGUGCUCCGUGCAGACCCCGGCCCAGAACCACAGUGCCACCCCUGCCACCCUCAACGUCCUCUAUCCCCCAAGGAACCUGCGGCUGCAAUCCUUCGUGGAGAGCAGCCAGGGGACGGCCACCAUCCUGCUCUGUGCCGUGGACAGCCACCCCCCGGCACAGCUCACCCUGCUCAGGGGGGGACACCCGGUGGCCUCCAGCCCUCCCGGAGGAGGUGACACCUCCCGGCAGAGCAUCCGAGUGUCCCCCUCUCCCAACGCGCUGCGGUUGGAAUUCCGGGAAGCCUCCGAGGAGGAUGAGGGCGAAUACGAGUGCCAGGCACGGAACGCCCUCGGUGUCACCCACGCGUCCCUCAAGCUCCGCGUGCAAGCCACCAAAGUGCUGGUGCGACCCUCGGCCGAGGUGGCGGAGGGGACAGAGGUGACGCUGACGUGCCAGGCCCCUCACGCUCAGCCGGGCACCCUCUACACGUGGUUCAAGAACGGGCGGUGGGUGACAGAAGGACCCGAACCCUCGCUGGAGCUCCGCGGUCACCGCUCCGACGCGGGGCUCUACGGCUGCCGGGCGGGCCGGGGGUCCCGCGCCGCCCCUGUCACCCUCUCCGUGCUCUGUGAGUGACGGGCGACACCUCCGCGAAG
rnacentral:lncRNA from 1 species